UCGGCCCGAAAGCUCUAGAAUGCACCCCUCUUCCUCCCCGGGGCCUUCCACCUCCGCGAGUUUUAUGACUUAAAAAAGCCCACAGGCUGGUCUGAAGAGGAAGACAAACAUAAAGAUGAAGUGCUUAAUUCAAGGUCACACAAUGUCGGGGAUGGACCUCCAGAUUUCCUUACUGGAAAACAAGCUCAGGGCUCCCACUGAUUGUACAUUAUGACGGAGUCUCGCUCUGUCGCCCAGGCUGGAGUGAAGUGGCGCGAUCUCGGCUCACUGCAAGCUCCGCCUCCCGGGUUCACACCAUUCUCCUGCCUCAGCCUCCCGAGUAGCUGGGACUACAGGCGCCCGCUACCACGCCCGGCUAAUUUUUUGUAUUUUUAGUAGAGACGGGGUUUCACCGUUUUAGCCGGGAUGGUCUCGAUCUCCUGACCUCGUGAUCCGCCCGCCUCGGCCUCUCAAAGUGCUGGGAUUACAGGCGUGAGCCACCGCGCCCGGCCUUAACCACUUUUAAGUCUUUACAUUUUGGUAGUCUUAGGUAUAUUCACAUUUUGUGCAGCAGAUCUCCAGAACUUUUUCAUCUUGCAAAACUGAAACUCUGUACCCAUUAAACAACAACUCUUCUUGCCCUA
rnacentral:lncRNA from 10 species